rnacentral:rRNA from 1 species
UUCAACUUGAGAGUUUGAUCCUGGCUCAGAACGAACGCUGGCGGCAGGCCUAACACAUGCAAGUCGAGCGCACCCUUCGGGGUGAGCGGCGGACGGGUGAGUAACGCGUGGGAAUAUGCCCUUUGGUACGGA